GUCCUCAUGUUUCUAUUUGAGGUUUGGCCUGCCCGGUGAUUUUAAUUUAACGGCCGCGGUAUAUUGACCGUGCAAAGGUAGCAUAAUCAUUAGUCUUUUAAUAGGAGGCUGGAAUGAAAGGUUUAACGAAAAAUUAGCUGUCUCAGUUAUAAAUUUGAAUUUAACUUUUAAGUUAAAAGGCUUAAAUUUUUUUGUAGGACGAGAAGACCCUAUAGAGCUUUACAUUUAAUGUUUUGUUAUAUUAAUUUAGAUUAAUACUUUUAAUUAACUUUAAAAAAUGUUUUGUUGGGGUGACAAGAAAUAUAUAUUUAACUUUUAUUAUUAUAUUUUCAUUAAUUUAUGUUUAUUGGAUCCAAAAUUUUUGAUCAUUAGAAUAAGUUACCUUAGGGAUAACAGCGUAAUCUUCCCUCAGAGUUCAAAUUUACGGGAAGGGUUGCGACCUCGAUGUUGGAUUAAGAUGGCAAUUGGGUGCAGUAGCUCAAUUUGUAGGUCUGUUCGACCUUUAAAUUCUU
rnacentral:rRNA from 1 species